UAGAGUUUAAGAGCCGCGGUAUUUUGACCGUGCAAAGGUAGCAUAAUCAUUAGUUUCUUAAUUAGGAACUUGUAUGAAUGGUCGGACAAAAGAAAAGCUGUCUCUGUUGUAAAAAUAGAAAUUAACUUUUAAGUGAAAAGGCUUAAAUUUUUCAAGGGGACGAUAAGACCCUAUAAAGCAUUGUGUUGGGGCGACAUAGGUAUAAUUAUUAACUGCUUGAUAAGAAAACAAAUAAUAAAUGUAAUGAUCCUUUUUAAAGAUUUAAGAUUAAGUUACUUUAGGGAUAACAGCGUUAUUUUUUUUGAGAGUUCAUAUCGAAAAAAAAGUUUGCGACCUCGAUGUUGAAUUAAAAUAUCUUUAUAGUGUAGCCGUUAUAAAAGAAGGUCUGUUCGACCUUUAAAUUUUU
rnacentral:rRNA from 1 species